rnacentral:rRNA from 1 species
AUUGAACGCUGGCGGCAGGCCUAACACAUGCAAGUCGAGCGGAUGAAGGGAGCUUGCUCCUGGAUUCAGCGGCGGACGGGUGAGUAAUGCCUAGGAAUCUGCCUGGUAGUGGGGGAUAACGUCCGGAAACGGGCGCUAAUACCGCAUACGUCCUGAGGGAGAAAGUGGGGGAUCUUCGGACCUCACGCUAUCAGAUGAGCCUAGGUCGGAUUAGCUAGUUGGUGGGGUAAAGGCCUACCAAGGCGACGAUCCGUAACUGGUCUGAGAGGAUGAUCAGUCACACUGGAACUGAGACACGGUCCAGGCUCCUACGGGAGGCAGCAGUGGGGAAUAUUGGACAAUGGGCGAAAGCCUGAUCCAGCCAUGCCGCGUGUGUGAAGAAGGUCUUCGGAUUGUAAAGCACUUUAAGUUGGGAGGAAGGGCAGUAAGCUAAUACCUUGCUGUUUUGACGUUACCAACAGAAUAAGCACCGGCUAACUUCGUG